rnacentral:lncRNA from 12 species
AUGAACACAGCCGCGUCCACGCAGCAGACACACACACCCGUGUUUUCUCUCCACAAGCUCCCUGUCGUGUCCCUGCCGUGCCAGGUGGAGGGGCACAGCCAGCCUGCGGUGACAUCAUCCCGGGCUGGCUCCAGCUGUUGUGGGCGUGCACCGCUGCUCCGGGCCGUCGGCGGGUUCUCUGCUGGGUCUCUGGAGCUUUGGGCAGCCCCCGGCACACGCGGUACACCCUCCCCGAACAUACGACGGAUGGACGGAAGGACGAACCCCAAAGACAAUGUGGGUCACCUACUUUCUCCCCGGCUCGUGACCUCUCGUCCUCUCGUCCGCCGUGACUCAUUCCCAUCUGUUCCCCGCCCGUCAGGCCCUAAACGUCCAGUCCCGCGCCGCAGCCCACUAACAAGGACACGGGAGCUGGGUGUCCUGCCAAGGAGCGCGCGCCCUGCCUGGCCUCCCGUCUGGCUCAGCCGCCGCGGGCCGCGGGCGGAAGCCUCUGUGUCGCUUCUUAAUGGUCUGGAUUGUUGGCCUGGCUUUGCCCUCGCGGGCGGCCAGCGGGGCUGUGGUGUGGCUGCACGUCGUGGUCCGGGUGGCGGGUCGCCCGUGGAGCUGGAUGGCCUCCUGCUGUCCGGGGGAGCCAGCCCGAGACACACGCCUGAGAGACGGCGCUGCGGGGGGCACAGAUGCUGGCCUGUCCCCCUGCCCGGCCCGCCGUGUGGCAUUGGGGUCGCCGUAGAUGGGGCGCUGAGCCGAGAAGGGUCCAGCUCGGGGAAGUCUUCGGAGCUGCCAUCUGCCCUGCACAUGGGUUUGCAGGGUCACCCAGAAGCCCGCCUGCUGUGCUGUCCUUGCUGAGAGAGGACGCAUGGGACACGGAGGGAGCCCUGUCAGGACAUGCAAGCCUGGAUCCCCGGGCACAGGCGGGCGGCGAGGGGGCCAGAGCCGGGAGGGCGGAGUCUGGACGCAGCUCUGUCCUUGGCUGAGCAACCUGAAGGGGGUGCAAGGAGGGUGUUUGUGGUGCAGACACCCCGAAGCCCCGGCCCCGUCCCCUCCCCGGUGGCCCUGUCUCUGCAGGAAGUCUCCACCGCUUGGCCUCUGCCCUGGGUUCACCCGGGUUCUUCUGGGUCUGGAAGGUGUACCUGGAGCUGCGUGCAGCCCCCUCCCUGCGCCCGGCCCUUGACACCUUUCCACUGUGAAAAUGUCCAAACACACACAACGCGACACGGUGUAAUGUCCCUCAUCUCCAUCCAGAGACGAACGAUGAUUGAGCGCCUGCUGGAUUCGCUUUAUUGUUGCUACGUUUGUGAGAUGGUUUCACGGAAAUCGCACACGUCCCGGCAUCUCGACGCCUGGUGUGCGCUCACCCACAGCCUCUCCUGCAGCCUCCGCCACGGGCCACCGCGCUGACCGCAGUCGGGCUUCUCCGUGGCGUCCUCCGAGGACCGGUUAGUUUCUCCACGGUUGGCUUGUCCGGGUCAGGACACGAAGUCCUCCCUCGGCAUCGGCUGGUUGGGUCUCUUCCAACUCCUGCCGUCUGGAACCGCCCUCCCUUUGCUUCUUUCGUGCCAAGCAUAUUCCAGAAGCCAGGGUCCCUCAUUCAGGACGUCUCUUGGCGUCAGCGGUGACCCUCACCCUCCGCCCCUGCAAAUGAGGAUUUAGAUCUGAAAGUUCCAGUACGACCCAGGGGUGCUGGCAGCAGAGCCUGGUCCCCUCCCCUGGGACCCGUGUGACACUGUGGGUGCCGGGACCUUUGGUCCUGGUCCCCUCACCUCAGAGCUAGAGAGCCCGCCUGCGAUGGUGGCCUGAGCCAUCACGUCGUGGGGGCUGGAAUGACAGUGGGCCUCCGUGUGCUCACGUUCAUUCUGGAAGGAUUAGCGGGAAUACUUUUGUGAAGAGCUUUCCACGUUAUCACCUGGGGUGAUACAGGACAGAGGGUGUACAGGAGGGCAGGAUCACUGCAGAAGUCAUUUCCUUUUGCUCUUGUAGUUAGAAGUUUCUGGAGUAAGGAGUCUGGCUGAAAAUUUCCUCCAAUGGAACAAAUGAGGUCAAAAAAUUUUAAUCUUUUUUAAAGAUUAUAUUUAUUUAUUCAUGAGAGAUACAGAGAGAGGCAGAGACGCAGGCAGAGGGAGAAGCAGGGUCUAUGCAGGGAGCCCGAUGUGGGGUUAGAUCGCAGGACUCCAGGAUCACGCCCUGGGCCGAAGGCAGAUGCCCAACCCCUGAGCCACCCAGGUGCCUCCUCCAAUUUUUUAUUUUUUAAAAUUUUCGGUUUAGGAUCGCAGAGAGUGAAUGGAGUGCAUGUAUUAAAUGGGUUGCACCUGUAGCUCUGUGACACUCCUGCCAGGGACAGGCCAGCCGGGUGGCUGAUGGCGGGACCUCAUGUGGCCGUGACGCUCUCCUUAGUUGUGGCACGAGACCCGUCUCAGGCCCACCGUGUCUCCAUUUCACCCACGAGCUUUUUAAAAGGGGGCUGAGGUGUUCAGAGACCCCAAUCCAGGUACUUGGCGCUGGAUUUUGCGGUCAUUGCUUCCCGUGGGGGCUGGGGGUCAUUGCUUCCCGUGGGGGGUGAGGAGAGCCAGGAAAUAUGCAUUUUGUUUUCAAUGCACCAGAUUACAUGAACAUUUCCAAUUCAGAUUUAGGGCUUGCGGUGUCAUCCGUAACAGAUCUGACUCUCUUUUGUCCACUUUUUCUCUCACGCUGGUCAUUUGGGUCCCUCACAACAUUCGUGUGAUUGCUUAUUGGCAUUAUCUUAGAAAAUACAAAAAAAAAAAAUUCGACGAACGAUGUCGGAUCUCACACGAACAGUAAGACUUACUGAAUGAUAUUUAUAAUUUCUUUAUUGCCUUUUGUCCCUAAAAAAAUCCCAUUAAAAAACAAGCAGCCUAAAUAUUAUGCUCCAGAAUCCUCCUUUGAAAUAAAUCUUUCCUUUGGAUAAAUUUAUAGAAAUAG